GCUAGACUUAGAGGGUCAAAUAAAGAUGGAAGAGAUGUGUUUUUAGCAGAUUCUUGAAGAUGCUCGGACUGAGUUGAAUAUUUUCUGA